AUACGGAGGGUGCAAGCGUUACUCGGAAUCAUUGGGCGUAAAGCGCACGUAGGCGGUCUGUUAAGUCCGAUGUGAAAUCCCGGGGCUCAACCUCGGAUGGCCAUUGGAAACUGAGAGACUUGAGAGUGGAAGGGGUCAGUGGAAUUCCUGGUGUAGGAGUGAAAUCCGUAGAGAUCAGGAGGAACACCGGUGGCGAAGGCGACUGACUGGGCCAUUUCUGACGCUAAUGUGACAAAAGCGGUGGGGAGAC
rnacentral:rRNA from 1 species